UACGAAGGGGGCUAGCGUUGCUCGGAAUUACUGGGCGUAAAGGGCGCGUAGGCGGAUAGUUUAGUCAGAGGUGAAAGCCCAGGGCUCAACCUUGGAAUUGCCUUUGAUACUGGCUAUCUUGAGUUCGGGAGAGGUGAGUGGAAUGCCGAGUGUAGAGGUGAAAUUCGUAGAUAUUCGGCGGAACACCAGUGGCGAAGGCGACUCACUGGCCCGAUACUGACGCUGAGGGGCGAAAGCGUGGGGAGCAAACAGG
rnacentral:rRNA from 1 species